CAGCAGCCGCGGGAAUACGUAGGUGGCAAGCGUUGUCCGGAAUUAUUGGGCGUAAAGGGCUCGCAGGCGGUUUCUUAAGUCUGAUGUGAAAGCCCCCGGCUCAACCGGGGAGGGUCAUUGGAAACUGGGAAACUUGAGUGCAGAAGAGGAGAGUGGAAUUCCACGUGUAGCGGUGAAAUGCGUAGAGAUGUGGAGGAACACCAGUGGCGAAGGCGACUCUCUGGUCUGUAACUGACGCUGAGGCUCGAAAGCGUGGGGAGCAAACAGGAUUAGAUACCCGUGUAGCCCUGUCUCUUAUACA
rnacentral:rRNA from 1 species